GACGAACGCUGGCGGCGUGCCUAAUACAUGCAAGUUGAGCGCUGAAGGUUGGUACUUGUACCAACUGGAUGAGCAGCGAACGGGUGAGUAACGCGUGGGGAAUCUGCCUUUGAGCGGGGGACAACAUUUGGAAACGAAUGCUAAUACCGCAUAAAAACUUUAAACACAAGUUUUAAGUUUGAAAGAUGCAAUUGCAUCACUCAAAGAUGAUCCCGCGUUGUAUUAGCUAGUUGGUGAGGUAAAGGCUCACCAAGGCGAUGAUACAUAGCCGACCUGAGAGGGUGAGCGGCCACAUUGGGACUGAGACACGGCCCAAACUCCUACGGGAGGCAGCAGUAGGGAAUCUUCGGCAAUAGACGAAAGUCUGACUGAGCAACGCCGCGUGAGUGAAGAAGGUUUUCGGAUCGUAAAACUCUGUUGGUAGAGAAGAACGUUGGUGAGAGUGGAAAGCUCAUCAAGUGACGGUAACUACCCAGAAAGGGACGGCUAACUACGUG
rnacentral:rRNA from 1 species